ensembl:processed_transcript
AAAAGGACAACCAAGCUGUUUGUUUACAUCCUGAAGCACGAUGGGUCAAAGAAAUGGUCUCAAAAAUUAUAAGCAAAAGAGCUGAAAGGGAAACUGCCAUGCCAACUGUGGCAUAAAUCAACACACACAAGACCAACCACAAGAAUGAUAUUUUCCAUUUUCUUAUCUUUCCCUUUGGUUUGCUCAGCCAACUCGAAUGUAUUGAAUGUUAUCUGUAUUUACUGUAUGAAUCACAAAUCUACAAAAUGUUGCUAUGAUACUGGAAUGUAUUCAAAAUCUGUCUACUGUUUUGAAAUAAAAAGCGCACAACCUUCUUUAAAAUAA